AAAAAAAAAAAAGUCAGCGAGAGUUCCCUUCUAUGGUUUGUUCAAGACUCCUUCUGGAUGAUUGUGAUAUAAUUCUUUAAAACAAUGGUUCUACGUAACGCAGCCAGGUGAAUCGAAUGGUCUUUAUGCUUAGUGACAUCUAUUUGAAGGUUUACUUAAUUUUGAGAAACGCUUGUCAGGACACAAGACUGAAAAAGACGUACUGAAAAAACUGCUUGUAAACACAGCUAUCAUUAAAGUCAAUGGAUUACCUAGGAACAUUCAAGCAAUAUGAUAUCAGAGACUUGCAAUUCUUAUCACUCAAUGUGGCAGAAAAACCUAAAUAAAUAUUGAAAUGUUCAA